AUGUUCAGAUCCAUUUUUUCCCUCAAUAGAUUUGGAUCUCUCGAUCAUCGAUCAUCGAUCUUCGAUUCUCAAUUUUAUAGAUACUGCGUGUAUUUAUCGUGUAUCAAGAUGAUUUAUGUUUUCCGUAGUGUAGUUUUUUUUUUUUUUUUUGCUUCUCUAGGUUUCUCGAUUGUAUUUGAUUUUAAUUUAAUUAAUUUCUAUGGAAAAAUUAAUAAAUCUGUUUUUUAUAGGUUCGAUUCUCACAUCAAGGAAAUGGAUAGUAACUGA